rnacentral:snRNA from 1 species
AUUUCAGGUUUGGCCUUUUGGCCAAGAUCAAGUGUAGUAUCUGUUCUUAACAGUUUAAUGUCUGAUAUGUCCUCUAUAAGGGGCAGUCGUGGGCUGGAGGUCAGGGAACUGGCCCUGUGACUGGAAGGUCGCCGGUUCGAUCCCCA